ACCAGGAAGUGACGUUUUUUGCAGUAGUGGGGUCGAGAAUUUAUACCUAUUGUAGCGUCGAGGAAUUACCAGUUUUUUCUGCAUGUUAGCCAAAAUGCCAGCUCGUUGUAUUGCUGGAUUUUUGCUCGAACGUUGGGAGGAUGGAUUCACUCUUCACACUUUUCUAAAAGACCUGAUUCGUCGUGAAAAAUGGAUUGUACAGGUGCAAAGGACAAUAGCUUUGUGUGUUGAAAAUGACAGGCUGCAGACCUGUCACCAGUCACCCUUCGGUACCUAACCCCUUUAAACUUUCCUGAUCCUGGAAGUCGUCGCCAGGGUAUUGAAGCUUCUGCACCGUUACAACGGCUCCCCAGUUCCCAGUGGGUUUCUGCGACCUCACCGCCAAUCCAUCCGCCUGUCCUCGACCCUUGCUGCGACGCAUUCUCUGUCUCAACAACCCGCCAGCGUAUCUCAAAGACCGGCUCCAUUUUCCUUUUCAUCAAACUGUUCAUCACAACCGCUCAGCCUCCACCUGCUGUUGGCUCCAGUCUCAAUCCAUUUGUGACAAUUUUAGCUUUAUUUAAAAUUUCAUUUUUUUUCUUUAAUAUUAAUUAUUUAUCAUAAAAAAGCACAAACUGCACUAAUGUUGCAUUAAAUAUGUUAUAUUUGUGCAAUGUAGUGAAAAAACAUCUGUUCAUUUAAUAAUUAUAAUCA